CAUGAUUAAAUGCUCAGUUGCCAACUUUUUGGUGGGAGCUUGGAAUGAGACGACGUUGAGGGUGGGGUCAAUAAUAAAAAUGGCGUCAGGUAUGUGUCGUAAUGGCUGAAAGAUUCACAAAGGUAGUAGGUGCACAGAAAGAAGCAAAUAAGAUGGCAGCCAGUGAACGAGCUUUCAACAUUAACAUGCAAGCGUCUGUGUUGAGUGGCAUGGUAGCACACCUCCUUUCUCUGAAUAUAGCUGUAUUUUCUGAUCUUGGAGGGCCAUGUGAGGAAGUUGUUCUCAACAACUGGUUUCACUCAAGGUAAGA